UUCCGUGUAGUGUAGCGGUUAUCACGUUCGCCUCACGCACGGAAACGAGGUUCGAAUCCACCCUUGGGCA
rnacentral:tRNA from 1 species